rnacentral:rRNA from 1 species
UUUUUGAAAAUAAUUUAAAGUUUAAUNUGCCCACUGAUGAAAAUUAAAGGGCUGCAGUAUUUUGACUGUACAAAGGUAGCAUAAUCAUUAGUUUUUUAAUUGGAAACUUGUAUGAAAGAUUUAAUGAAAUAUAUACUGUCUCAAAUUUAUUAUUAAAACUUUAUUUUUUAGUUAAAAAGCUAAAAUAUUUUUAAAAGACGAGAAGACCCUAUAGAGUUUUAUAUUUAUUUUUAUUAAAAACUUAUAUAAAAAUUAAUGUUUAAAAUAAAAUAAAAUAUUAUGUUGGGGUGAUAGAAAAAUUAAAUUAACUUUUUGUGAUAAAUAAUAUUAAUAAAUAGAUAAAUGAUCCAUAAAUAAUGAUUAAAAGAAAAAAUUACCUUAGGGAUAACAGCGUAAUUUUUUUUUUUAGCACAAAUAAAAAAAAAAGUUUGCGACCUCGAUGUUGGAUUAAGAUAAAAUUUAAACGCAAAAGUUUAAAAUUUUGAUCUGUUCGAUCAUUAAAAUCUUACAUGAUCU